rnacentral:rRNA from 1 species
UACGUAGGGGGCAAGCGUUGUCCGGAAUCAUUGGGCGUAAAGAGCGUGUAGGCGGCCAGAUAAGUCCGCUGUGAAAUCUCGAGGCUCAACUUCGAGCUGUCGGUGGAAACUGUCUGGCUAGAGUCCGGAAGAGGAGAAUGGAAUUCCUGGUGUAGCGGUGAAAUGCGCAGAUAUCAGGAAGAACACCAAUGGCGAAGGCAGCUCUCUGGGACGGUACUGACGCUGAGACGCGAAAGCGUGGGGAGCGAACAGG